GUUUUAAUAGUAUAUAACAAUACACUAUCUUUUCGUGAUAGAACAGGAUUAAUAUCCUUAAGGUU
rnacentral:tRNA from 1 species